rnacentral:rRNA from 1 species
CAGUCGCCACGGUAACACGUAGGUGGCAAGCGUUGUCCGGAGUUAUUGGGCGUAAAGGGCUCGCAGGCGGUUUCUUAAGUCUGAUGUGAAAGCCUCCGGCUCAACCGGGGAGGGUCAUUGGAAACUGGGAAACUUGAGUGCAGAAGAGGAGAGUGGAAUUCCACGUGUAGCGGUGAAAUGCGUAGAGAUGUGGAGGAACACCAGUGGCGAAGGCGACUCUCUGGUCUGUAACUGACGCUGAGGAGCGAAAGCGUGGGGAGCGAACAGGAUUAGAUACCCCUGUAGUCCUGUCUCUUAUACA